UGGGUGAAUCCGACAACUUCU
ensembl:piRNA 21ur-2334 ncRNA